rnacentral:rRNA from 1 species
AGUCGAACGAUAUAGUGGCAGACGGGUGAGUAACGCGUGGGGAUGUGCCCUUCAGUACGGAAUAGCUCCUGGAAACGGGUGGUAAUACCGUAUACGGCCUACGGGCGAAAGAUUUAUCGCUGAAGGAUCAACCCGCGUUAGAUUAGCUAGUUGGUGAGGUAAUGGCUCACCAAGGCGACGAUCUAUAGCUGGUCUGAGAGGACGACCAGCCACACUGGGACUGAGACACGGCCCAGACUCCUACGGGAGGCAGCAGUGGGGAAUCUUGCACAAUGGGCGAAAGCCUGAUGCAGCCAUGCCGCGUGAAUGAUGAAGGCCUCAGGGUUGUAAAAUUCUUUCAUCAGGGAUGAUAAUGACAGUACCUGAAGAAGAAGCCCCGGCUAACUUCGUGCCAGCAGCCGCGGUAAUACGAAGGGGGCUAGCGUCGUUCGGAAUUACUGGGCGUAAAGAGUUCGUAGGCGGGUUAUUAAGUCAGAUGUGAAAUCCCAGGGCUCAACCUUGGAACUGCAUUUGAAACUGGUAACCUAGAGACUAGGAGAGGUCAGUGGAAUACCGAGUGGAGAGGUGAAAUUCGCAGAUAUUCGGUGGAACACCAGUGGCGAAGGCGACUGACUGGACUAGUACUGACGCUGAGGAACGAAAGUGUGGGGAGCAAACAGGAUUAGAUACCCUGGUAGUCCACACCGUANACGAUGACAGCUAGUUGUUGGCAGGCAUGCCUGUCGGUGACGCAGCUAACGCAUUAAGCUGUCCGCCUGGGGAGUACGGCCGCAAGGUUAAAACUCAAAGAAAUUGACGGGGGCCCGCACAAGCGGUGGAGCAUGUGGUUUAAUUCGAAAGCACGCGCAGAACCUUGCCCGCGUUUGACAUGCCCGGUUUGAUUUUCAGAGAUGAAUUUCUUCAUUUAGGUGGCCGGUGCACAGGUGCUGCAU